GACGAACGCUGGCGGCGUGCUUAACACAUGCAAGUCGAACGGAAAGGCCCUGCUUUUGUGGGGUGCUCGUGUGGCGAACGGGUGAGUAACACGUGAGUAACCUGCCCUUGACUUUGGGAUAACUUCAGGAAACUGGGGCUAUUACCGGAUAGGAGCUCCUGCUGCAUGGUGUGGGUUGGUAAGUUUCGGCGGUUGGGGAUGGACUCGCGGCUUAUCAGCUUGUUUGUGGGGUAGUGGCUUACCAAGGCUUUGACGGGUAGCCGGCCUGUGAGGGUGACCGGCGACAAUGGGACUGAGAGACGGCGCAGAAGCCAACGGGAGGCAGCAGUGGGGAAUAUUGCACAAUGGGCGGAAGCGUGAUGCAGAAACGCCGCGUGCGGGAUGACGGCCUUCGGGUUGUAAACAGAUUUCGACUGUGACGAAGCGUGAGUGACGGUAAUGGGUAAAGAAGCACCGGCUAACUACGUG
rnacentral:rRNA from 1 species